GACGAACGCUGGCGGCGUGCCUAAUACAUGCAAGUAGAACGCACAGUUUAUACCGUAGCUUGCUACACCAUAGACUGUGAGUUGCGAACGGGUGAGUAACGCGUAGGUAACCUGCCUGGUAGCGGGGGAUAACUAUUGGAAACGAUAGCUAAUACCGCAUAAUAUUAAUUAUUGCAUGAUAAUUAAUUGAAAGGUGCAAUUGCACCACUACCAGAUGGACCUGCGUUGUAUUAGCUAGUAGGUGAGGUAACGGCUCACCUAGGCGACGAUACAUAGCCGACCUGGGAGGGUGAUCGGCCACACUGGGACUGAGACACGGCCCAGACUCCUACGGGAGGCAGCAGUAGGGAAUCUUCGGCAAUGGACGAAAGUCUGACCGAGCAACGCCGCGUGAGUGAAGAAGGGUUUCGGAUCGUAAAGCUCUGUUGUAAGAGAAGAACGGGUGUGAGAGUGGAAAGUUCACACUGUGACGGUAUCUUACCAGAAAGGGACGGCUAACUACGUG
rnacentral:rRNA from 1 species